rnacentral:lncRNA from 1 species
GUUUUCUCCUGGACGGAGCCUGCAGAUCCUAUGAGCAAGCAUAUGUCCUGUGCUCCACUAGUCCUAGCUGGAUCGUGGACAUAUUACCAUCAUUACAAAUAUCAAUAGUUUGUGAUUACUUCAAACAAUCUGAAGUUGAAGGACCCCAGAUAUCCUUCAAAACAGGAAUCUGCAGGCAGAUGCUGAACCCAUGAAUACAGAGGGACAACUAUACGCUGACAUAGUUUUAUGAAUGCAAACAGCCAAGGAGAGCAGAUGUUGAGUGGUUGCCAGAGUGAAAUGAGGAAGCCCUGCUGCCAGCUUCCCACCAAAAAGCAGGCUCCGGCCCUGAACGCAGGAGAGUUGCUAAAGAAGUUGUUCACAGAGGCGGGAGAGAGCAGGCUACUGGUUUCCUUCAAAAUGGAAUAGGAAACAGAAAACGUGCAUCAUUUCUUCGCACUUGAAUCAGCAACAUGACACAGGACUUUGGCAUCAGACUACUAUCACACCAAAAAAAGAGGCUUCACUUGGAGUGCUGCCACUGGAUGGGGCCUGACUUGUUUAUCCGGAAAGAAGUGACUUCCCUGGGAAGAAGGUUGCAUUUGUGAAAGCUUGUGAGGCAUUUCAAGGCUGCAUUCAGGUACAGGUCUUUGAAGAGUUUGCAUUGCUCUGUGAGUUACCAGAGGACUGCCAUCUUUAAUCCAAUUCAGACAGCGAUUCACCAGGCUUUGCAUGUGCUCAGGCCUGUUGCUCCUUAUCAGAGGCCCACAUGGAGCUCUCAGUACAGCUGCAGCCCUGGAGAAUUUCCCUGUCUCCUCCUGUUCUCUCUCUCUCCUCCUCCUCCCGCUUCUCUUCCCUGCCUCUCCCCCACCCCUAUACAAACACACACAUACACACAGACACACAGACACACACACACACACACACACACACACCUACUCCUUAGCUCUUUAAUUUUCCUUUUAAGGCAUCAAAAUCAAUUUUGGGACUCUAUUUGGUACAAAGAGUUGAUAUGGAUUUGAUACGGAUAGAGUUGACUGAUCUCUACUCUGGGUUUGAAGAUGUUGCUGCAAAUGGAAAGGAAAUAAUCCCGGGCUAUUGUGACAGAUGACAUGGUGUAGAGGGAAGAGCGCAGGACCGAAGGUGGAGAAUCACUUGUUUAUGCAACACAUAUUUCCUGAACAUCAAAUACAAGGAUAAAGCCAUGAAGGAAACAGAGCCCUGUUUCUGCAGAACACACGUUCUGGUUGGAGAAGACAAGUAGCGAAUACACCAACAAAUAAGAGAAUAUUUGACGAUGUUGAGUGUUUUAUGAAGGGGAUAAAGAGUGACUGCAGGGCUCAGAAGGUAGCGAUUAUUUUAAGUAGGGAAGGUCUUUUGUAAGAAGGUGCUAUUUAAAUUGAGACUUUAAAGGUGUGCAACUUUGGAUAAAUUGGAAACAAGAAGGGAAGUGCAUUCUGUGGGAUCUAGUAAGAGCAGAGAGUGAUGACCAACUCCAGACCCCAAAGAGAAAGGAGAGUGAGGCUAUUGGCACUUGGAGGCAGAGAAAGCCAUGUGUAGAGGGUGGCCCGACUGAGCUAAAACCUUCAGUCUGUUGGUCUUGAGCUAUUUGAGGGUCUAUUAUGUGCAGGAUUAGGCUCGGCACUAUCGAGGAUCACAAAAGCGUGUUAGUUAUGGAGUCUUCCAGCAAUAGGCUUACAGUCAAGAAUGGGAAACAACACAUAUGCACGUAAUUUGAUUGAAAUGUAGGAAGUUUUAAGGAUGAUAGGAGGAGUUCAGAUAAAGACUAGAAAGUUCUCAGGUGCCAGAUUGCUUCCAGCCAACAGAUCAGAGGAACUGCCAUAGAGGAGGUGGCUGUGUGUGCCCUGGACCUCAAAGGAGAGAGAUGAUAUUCAGACGUGUAGCAGUGAUAGGCAGAAGCACAUUUUAAAUGGAGGGAAUGAAACAGGAUAAGCAAAAGACUGGUGAUUGAAAAACUCUGGUUGCCUGUGCAGAAAAGAGAAAUCUUAGUUUGACUGGAGCUUCUGGCACAUGAAAGGGAUUUAGAGUUUGCCGUUUCUGUGAAUCUGUCCAUCUUCACCCUCAUGCUGUUCUCCUUUCCUCUUUUAACCUGUAUCUUCUCUCUCUUUGUUUUGUUGACUUUCUCUUUUUUGUUUUCCGUUGUCCUUUUUUAUGAGUGGAGCAUUUCAGUGCAAGAGCAAAUGGGAGUGGAGUGGGGUUCUGUGGAAUGUCAGAAAUGCAUGCUCAACCUAGAUUUCCCAAGCUCUCACUCAGUCUUAUCCCAGGGAUCACUUGACAUGAUGGGAAAUGAUGGGAAAAAAAUAAACAAUGUGAUCCCAGAGCAAAACUUAUUUACUUUAUCUGUUUAACCCAGUUCUACCGCUUCUCUCGCCAUUUCCCAAGAACCAGGGGCAGAAAACAUGAGAAAGCAGAAGGGAGACAGAUUUUAGAGAACGUGAGUUUGUCGUUUUUCCUUCUAGGAUGAGAGAACAUGUCUGCCACCACCAGUUUCAGGGAACAACUGAUUCAUUUCACAGCCCCACCAAUGUAUACAACCUGGUUUGUUCUUGAGCCAGGUGCUUUCUCAUUGGUGACAGAGCAGCAGUACUUUCCAGCAUGCUGUACAAUUAUCCAGACUAGAGGCCCUUCCUCUGCAUGGAUUGGCCCUACUUAAG